rnacentral:rRNA from 1 species
GAAUCUUCGGCAAUGGGCGAAAGCCUGACCGAGCGACGCCGCGUGGAGGAUGAAGGCCUUCGGGUCGUAAACUCCUAAAAGAGGGACGAUAGUGACGGUACCUCUUGAAAAGCACCGGCUAACUCCGUGCCAGCAGCCGCGGUCAUCCGGAGGGUGCAAGCGUUAUCCGGAAUCACUGGGCGUAAAGGGCGCGUAGGCGGUCUGUUAAGUCCGAUGUUAAAGGCUGGGGCUCAACCCCAGUAAAGCGUUGGAUACUGGCAGGCUAGACGGUUGGAGAGGCGAGUGGAAUUACCAGUGUAGCGGUGAAAUGCGUAGAUACUGGUAGGAACACCCAUGGCGAAGGCAGCUCGCUGGACAACCCGUGACGCUGAGGCGCGAAAGUGUGGGGAGCAAACCGG